rnacentral:tRNA from 1 species
GGGGGUGUGGCGGAGUGGUCAUAACGCGAUCGCCUUGAAAGCGAUAGGCCCUUAACCGGGCUCGUGGGUUCGAAUCCCACCGCCCCCUCCA